GGCCCUGUAAGUGUGUGUGUGUGUGUGUGUGUGUGUGUGUGUUGUGUGUGUGUGUUUGCGUGUGUGUAAUUGCGGUGGACUGGAUUCUUGUUGAACAAAUAUUCACUCAAUAUUCACUCUCUCUUCCUCCUUAGGAUGGCAUAUACUUAUAUUUACCUGCCUCACUCAUUUUGGGCAUGGCCAUGUAACCGGGUGCACAGAAGCGGGAGUGUACUGAGGCUUUGAAUGUUUGUUUAGCCUCUGGAGCUCCUGCCUACUUCAUGAUGUAAGUACGUCCAGGGUAGCCAUAGUUCCAGGAUGAAGAGACAUGGGGAAAGCAGACCUGACCCAAGCCCAAAUGAGUCCAGCCAACUCACAGACCCAUUACUGAAAAGAAAUAAAUGCCUGUUGUAAGCCACUGAGAUUUUGGGAUUAUUUGUUACACAGCCUUAUCAUGGAAAAGCUGACUAACAAGUGUUCAUGGUAGUCUUUACAGGGAACUAGUCCAAUACUCAGGCCUUUUCACAGAGGGCUUCAGGAUGGAGGCACCUGCUCUGUUGCAUGUCAUUAAGGAAUCAGGUUUUAGUAAAUAGUUCCUCCCCCUUUUAGACUCCGUUCCCUGACCUCUUCCUCAAGUGCAUAUCUCCCCCCCUCUUUAGGACAAUUAACCACAUUCACAAAAUUCCACCUCCUCCUCCUCUACAGGCCACUUCUGCAGGCUCUCAGAACUGUCUGUCUUUGACAAGGGCUAUCCUUGUUGUGGGAGGCCCUCAGCUUUCCGAGGAGGUUGGAAAGAAUGGAGCUCAGAGAAAUGGAGGGGCCCCCGCAAGCUGCAGCAGCAGGAGGCAAAGGAACCAGCAGCAGGGCCCUCUGGAAAGAUCGGAGGAGGCAUGUAGCUGAGUGCUCACACAACGUGAGGAUGUCGCAGCUCCAAACCAGGGUGUUCUCUGUGAUGUCAGGGGCAGCGACUGUUAGAGAAACACCCUCUUCUCCUCUGAUCCUGCCCACCCCGCUAGUGAUCAAACACGGCCUGUGCUGCUGCUGUCAGGAAGCCCGAGAAUGCACCAGGCAGGCGGCUGUCUCACGCGUGGCCCUGCCCUCCCCUUUGUCCCUCAUAAAGACACCAGCCACAUGACCUCAAAUGUUUCCUGGAGAGAGCAACUGCCUUUUCUAGGUAAGGAUGGUGACUUCCAUGACCCCUCCUCCCCCUGCAGCACCGAGCUGUGUAAAUGGCAAGGCCCAUCCAUUAAAAAAAAAAAAAAAAAGGUUCUAAUAUGAGGAAACAUUCCUAUCCAUUUUCAUGCUGCUCUGGAAAAUGUUCAAUAAAAAUAGCUUUAAGGCUUUAAUACUUAACGCU
rnacentral:lncRNA from 1 species